UACAGAGGUCCCAAGCGUUGUUCGGAUUCACUGGGCGUAAAGCGUGCGUAGGUGGUUCGUUAAGUCUGAUGUGAAAGCCCUGGGCUCAACCUGGGAAUGGCAUUGGAAACUGGCGACCUAGAGUGCGGUAGAGGGCAGUGGAAUUCCCGGUGUAGCAGUGAAAUGCGUAGAGAUCGGGAGGAACAUCUGUGGCGAAGGCGACUGCCUGGACCAGCACUGACACUGAGGCACGAAAGCGUGGGGAGCAAACAGG
rnacentral:rRNA from 1 species